rnacentral:tRNA from 1 species
GCCUGAGUGGCUCAGUCGGUUAAGCGUCCGACUUUGGCUCAGGUCACGAUCUCACAGUUUGUGGGUUCAAGCCCCACAUCCGGCU